UACAGAGGGUGCGAGCGUUAAUCGGAAUUACUGGGCGUAAAGCGUGCGUAGACGGUUAUUUAAGUCGGGUGUGAAAGCCCCGGGCUCAACCUGGGAAUUGCAUUCGAGACUGAAUAGCUAGGGUACGGUAGAGGGAAGUGGAAUUUCCGGUGUAGAGGUGAAAUUCGUAGAUAUCGGGUAGAACACCAGUGGCGAAGGCGGCUCUCUGGACGGUAACUGACGCUGAGACGCGAAAGCGUGGGGAGCAAACAGG
rnacentral:rRNA from 1 species